ACGGGAGGCAGCAGUGGGGAAUAUUGGACAAUGGGCGAAAGCCUGAUCCAGCCAUGCCGCGUGUGUGAAGAAGGUCUUCGGAUUGUAAAGCACUUUAAGUUGGGAGGAAGGGCAGUAAGUUAAUACCUUGCUGUUUUGACGUUACCAACAGAAUAAGCACCGGCUAACUUCGUGCCAGCAGCCGCGGUAAUACGAAGGGUGCAAGCGUUAAUCGGAAUUACUGGGCGUAAAGCGCGCGUAGGUGGUUCAGCAAGUUGGAUGUGAAAUCCCCGGGCUCAACC
rnacentral:rRNA from 1 species